rnacentral:rRNA from 1 species
GGAGGGUGCAAGCGUUAUUCGGAUUUAUUGGGCGUAAAGAGUGUGUAGGCGGCCGGUCAAGCCAGAUGUGAAAGCCCAGGGCUUAACCCUGAAAGUGCAUUUGGAACUGGUUGGCUUGAGUUCGGGAGAGGGAAGUGGAAUUCCGGGUGUAGAGGUGAAAUUCGUAGAUAUCCGGAGGAACACCGGUGGCGAAGGCGACUUCCUGGACCGAAACUGACGCUGAGACACGAAAGCGUGGGGAGCAAACAGGAUUAGAUACCCUGGUAGUCCACGCUGUAAACGAUGGGCGCUAGGUGUGGGGGUUUUUAAUCCCUCNNNNNNNNNNACKAACGCAUUAAGCGCCC